AUGGAGAUUUUAUUGGGCCAGAUGGGUCAACUAACGACAUUAUUGUUGGUGAUGUCCCCCAUGCCCUCCGAGGUGUUUAACAUACUUGCAGACAUGCCUCGCCUUGUUGAUAUUUCUCUCGGCGAGUUUGGUGUGCUCGAUAAGUUGCCUGCUGAGCUCCCACGGGGUGUCAAGCGUCUUCGUCUCUGUGCCUAUGUCAUUAAACAAGACCCGAUGCAGAUCCUGGAGAAGCUUCAUUAUCUUGUGGUGCUAGAGUUGUCGGGGUACGAAGGUCAAACGAUGUUCUGCUCUGCCCAAGGGUUUCCUCGGCUGCAAGAGUUAAAACUUGUUGGUUUCUCAACUGAUGAUUGGAGGAUCGAGGUAGGAGCAAUGCCAAAGCUUUCCGACCUGACGCUUCGGGAAUGCGAUAAGAUGAGCGAGCUCCCCGAGGGGUUUCUACACCUUCCGUCCCUCAAUCACCUGAUGUUGUACAAAAUGCCCCAGAUUCCCAAAGAUGACAACACACUGAAGGAGCUCGAACGGAAAGGAUGUCAGUUUUAUUCUUUG
rnacentral:rRNA from 1 species